GGAUGCGAGGUCAUCUGUCUGUGACAUCUGUCACCCCACCGAUCCCCAGGGUGGAUUCCGCUGAUCUGGCUGGCUAGGUGGGUGUGCCCUUCCUCCCUCACCUCUCCAUGUGCAUCCCUCCUGAAGCUGCAUGCUCGGUUGAAGAGGAUGGCCUCCCCGGACAAGAGAUUGACAGACUGGUCUUUGGCCGAGGGCACAUGAGUAGCUGCGCCCCUCUGCUAGAAUCUCCAAACAAGCUCUGAAGUUAAAGAAUAGUUAAGCUUUACUCUUUAAUUCCCCUUCCUCCUUUAGAUAGAG
rnacentral:snRNA from 1 species